rnacentral:misc_RNA from 1 species
GAUGAAGAACGCAGCGAAAUGCGAUAAGUAAUGUGAAUUGCAGAAUUCAGUGAAUCAUCGAAUCUUUGAACGCACAUUGCGCCCGCCAGUAUUCUGGCGGGCAUGCCUGUUCGAGCGUCAUUUCAACCAUCAAGCCCCAGGCUUGUGUUGGGGACCUGCGGCUGCCGCAGGCCCUGAAAACCAGUGGCGGGCUCGCUGUCACACCGGGCGUAGUAGAUUUUAUCUCGCUCAGGGCGUGCUGCGGGUUCCGGCCGUUAAAAAGCCGUUUUUACCCAAGGUUGACCUCGGAUCAGGUAGGAAGACCCGCUGAACUUAAGCAUAUCAAUAAGCGGAGGA